rnacentral:rRNA from 1 species
CCAUUAGCUUGUUGGUGGGGUAAUGGCCUACCAAGGCGACGAUGGGUAGCCGGCCUGAGAGGGUGUACGGCCACAUUGGGACUGAGAUACGGCCCAGACUCCUACGGGAGGCAGCAGUUAAGAAUCUUGCGCAAUGGGCGAAAGCCUGGCGCAGCGACGCCGCGUGGACGAUGAAGGCCUUCGGGUUGUAAAGUCCGGUAAGCAGGGAAGAAUAAGUGUAAAGUAAUAUCUUGCACGAUGACGGUACCUGCCUAAAGCCCCGGCUAACUACGUGCCAGCAGCCGCGGUAAUACGUAUGGGGCAAGCGUUGUUCGGAAUUAUUGGGCAUAAAGGGCGUCUAGGCGGGGGACUAAGUUAGGUGUGAAAGCCAUGGGCUCAACCCAUGAAUUGCACCUAAAACUGGUUUUCUUGAGUUCGGGAGAGGAGAGCGGAAUUCCCGGUGUAGCGGUGAAAUGCGUAGAUAUCGGGAAGAACACCAGUGGCGAAGGCGGCUCUCUGGCCUAGAACUGACGCUGAAGCGCGAAAGCGUGGGGAGCGAACGGGAUUAGAUACCCCGGUAGUCCACGCCGUAAACGUUGUGUACUAGGUGUUAGUGGCUUGACCACUAGUGCCGUCGCAAACGCAUUAAGUACACCGCCUGGGGAGUACGUCCGCAAGGAUGAAACUCAAAGAAAUUGACGGGGGCCCGCACAAGCGGUGGAGCAUGUGGUUUAAUUCGAUGAUACGCGAAGAACCUUACCUGGGCUUGAACUGUACUUGAUCGGUGUAGAGAUACACCCUCCUUCGGGCAGGUGCAGAGGUGCUGCAUGGUUGUCGUCAGCUCGUGUCGUGAGAUGUUGGGUUAAGUCCCGCAACGAGCGCAACCCUUACCCCUUGUUGCCAUCAGGUAAUGCUGAGCACUCUAGGGGAACUGUCGGUGAUAAACCGGAGGAAGGUGGGGAUGACGUCAAAUCAUCACGGCCCUUAUGUCCAGGGCUACACACGUGCUACAAUGGCCGGUACAAUGAGUUGCGAGACCGCGAGGUGGAGCUAAUCUCAAAAAACCGGUCUCAGUUCGGAUUGCAGUCUGCAACUCGACUGCAUGAAGCUGGAAUCGCUAGUAAUCGCGGAUCAGCACGCUGCGGUGAUACGUUCCCGGGCCUUGUACACACCGCCCGUCACACCACCCGAGUUGGCAGCACCCGAAGUGGCUGAUCUAACUUCGUGAGGAAGGUUACUAAGG